UGGGGAAUAUUGCGCAAUGGGCGAAAGCCUGACGCAGCAACACCGCGUGAGGGAUGACGGCCUUCGGGUUGUAAACCUCUUUCAGCUCCGACGAAGCGAAAGUGACGGUAGGAGCAGAAGAAGCACCGGCUAACUACGUGCCAGCAGCCGCGGUAAUACGUAGGGUGCAAGCGUUGUCCGGAAUUAUUGGGCGUAAAGAGCUCGUAGGCGGUCCGUUGCGUCUGCCGUGAAAACCCGGAGCUCAACUCCGGGCCAUGCGGUGGAUACGGGCGGACUAGAGUCCGGUAGGGGAGACUGGAAUUCCUGGUGUAGCGGUGGAAUGCGCAGAUAUCAGGAGGAACACCGGUGGCGAAGGCGGGUCUCUGGGCCGGAACUGACGCUGAGGAGCGAAAGCGUGGGGAGCGAACAGGAUUAGAUACCCUGGUAGUCCACGCCGUAAACGGGUGGGCGCUAGGUGUGGGAUCGUUUCCACGAUCUCCGUGCCGUAGG
rnacentral:rRNA from 1 species